UACGGAGGGUGCAAGCGUUAUCCGGAUUCACUGGGUUUAAAGGGUGCGUAGGCGGACAGGUAAGUCAGUGGUGAAAUCUCUGGGCUUAACCCAGAAACUGCCGUUGAUACUAUUUGUCUUGAAUAUCCUGGAGGUAGGCGGAAUAUGUCAUGUAGCGGUGAAAUGCUUAGAUAUGACAUAGAACACCGAUAGCGAAGGCAGCUUACUACAGGAUGAUUGAUGCUGAGGCACGAAAGCGUGGGGAGCAAACAGG
rnacentral:rRNA from 1 species